CCUACGGGGUGCUGCAGUGAGGAAUAUUGGUCAAUGGACGAGAGUCUGAACCAGCCAAGUAGCGUGAAGGAUGACUGCCCUAUGGGUUGUAAACUUCUUUUAUAUGGGAAUAAAACGUUCCACGUGUGGGAUUUUGUAUGUACCAUAUGAAUAAGGAUCGGCUAACUCCGUGCCAGCAGCCGCGGUAAUACGGAGGAUCCGAGCGUUAUCCGGAUUUAUUGGGUUUAAAGGGAGCGUAGGUGGAUUGUUAAGUCAGUUGUGAAAGUUUGCGGCUCAACCGUAAAAUUGCAGUUGAAACUGGCAGUCUUGAGUACAGUAGAGGUGGGCGGAAUUCGUGGUGUAGCGGUGAAAUGCUUAGAUAUCACGAAGAACUCCGAUUGCGAAGGCAGUUCACUGGACUGCAACUGACACUGAGGCUCGAAAGUGUGGGUAUCAAACAGGAUUAGAUACCCUGGUAUC
rnacentral:rRNA from 1 species